rnacentral:misc_RNA from 1 species
GUUGUCACGGGGUUUCCUGUGUCUGGAAACAUUGGUGUGGGACCUCUUGCAGUAGGUCCCAGGUGGAUAGCCUAUAGUGGAAGUCCAGUUUCAGUUUCGAAUUCUGGUCGAGUUAAUCCACAGCACCUUACUCCUUCUGCUAGUUUCCCAAGUCCAGCGCCAAAUGGCAGCCUUGUCGCUCAUUAUGCAAAGGAAUCAAGCAGGCAAAUUGCUGCUGGUAUUGUGACUUUAGGGGACAUGGGGUACAAGAAGCUGUCGAGGUACUAUUCUGAGUUGCGGCCAGAUGGUAAUUGUUCUCAGCCUGGGAAUGUUUGUGUAAAGUUAUCAGGAGCUCCUAAUGGUCAUUUUCAAGACGUAGACAGUGUUGGAAUGGUCAUAGUCAGGGACAUUGUCAGCAAAACUCUUAUUGCUCAGUUUAGGGCACAUAAAAGUCCUAUUGCAGCUUUGUGCUUUGACCCUAGCACUACUCUUCUGGUGACUGCUUCAGUUCAAGGUCAUAACAUCAAUGUAUUUCGGAUAAUGCCUGGACUAUCUGAAAGUACUUGUGCUACUGAUCCUGGAUCUUCUUAUGUCCAUCUGUAUAGGCUGCAGCGUGGACUGACUAACGCGGUCAUACAAGACAUAAGUUUUAGUAAUGAUAGCCGGUGGAUUAUGAUAAGUUCUUCCAGAGGAACUAGCCAUCUUUUUGCGGUAUCUCCUUCAGGUGGAUCAGUUGAUUUUCA